UGUCCCCUGGCCCAGCUGGUUCAAGGCGCAAGACUGUUAAUUCGACAAUAAUCUUGAGAUCGUGAGUUCGAACCUCACGGGGGCAG